UUCUGGUCAAAGAGGUAUUUAGGGUUGAGCUAUGUGUACUUCAGGAUAGAGAAUAUUAAAAUUUUGUGUCAAAAAUAGAAAUUUUUUACUAGCAGUGGGUCAGUGGAACUCUUGACAUGUUAGCAAGGACCCCCAACUACAGACUUUUCAUUUUUUUGUCUUUUUUUGUUUUCUGGAAUAUGAGGCUAUCAUUGGCUCUGGGAUAACUAAACAUUAUUGGGGUUUGGUUUAUCCAAAACCACAUAUGGUAAACUAUGCUAAGUAGAGGUUUAAACUUGAAAAUGAUGUUGAAAUGCUACUUUGGUUGUAGAUAUGCAGGAGAAGACAGACAAAUUUGCCUCUCCACUGCCAAUGUCUUCCACAUCAAAAGGAUUGAGUCAGAGAUGUCACUGAAAGGCAGUCUUCUU
rnacentral:lncRNA from 12 species